rnacentral:tRNA from 1 species
GGGGAUUUAGCUCAGAGGUAGAGCGCUUGCCUAGCAAGCGCAAGGCUCUGGGUUCGAUCCCCAGCUCCG